rnacentral:tRNA from 1 species
GGGAAUGUAGCUCAGUGGUACAGCAUCUGCCUGAUAAGCACAAGUCUUUGAGUUCAGUUCCU